UACGAAGGGGGCUAGCGUUGUUCGGAAUUACUGGGCGUAAAGCGCGCGUAGGCGGUGAUCUUUGUCAGAGGUGAAAGCCCGGGGCUCAACUCCGGAAUUGCCUUUGAAACGGGAUCGCUAGAGUCCGAGAGAGGAUGGCGGAAUUCCUAGUGUAGAGGUGAAAUUCGUAGAUAUUAGGAAGAACACCGGUGCGAAGGCGGCCAUCUGGACCGCAACUGACGCUGAGGCGCGAAAGCGUGGGAGCA
rnacentral:rRNA from 1 species